UAAGGUGGUAGGCUGAAAUCUUAGGUAAAUCCGGGGUUUCAAGGCCGAGAGCUGAUGACGAGUCGUCUUUUAGAUGACGAAGUGGUUGAUGCCAUGCUUCCAAGAAAAGCUUCUAAGCUUCAGGUAACCAGGAACCGUACCCCAAACCGACACAGGUGGUCGGGUAGAGAAUACCAAGGCGCUUGAGAGAACUCGGGUGAAGGAACUAGGCAAAAUGGCACCGUAACUUCGGGAGAAGGUGCGCCGGCUAGGGUGAAGGAUUUACUCCGUAAGCUCUGGCUGGUCGAAGAUACCAGGCCGCUGCGACUGUUUAUUAAAAACACAGCACUCUGCAAACACGAAAGUGGACGUAUAGGGUGUGACGCCUGCCCGGUGCCGGAAGGUUAAUUGAUGGGGUUAGCGCAAGCGAAGCUCUUGAUCGAAGCCCCGGUAAACGGCGGCCGUAACGAUAACGGUCCUAAGGUAGCGAAAUUCCUUGUCGGGUAAGUUCCGACCUGCACGAAUGGCGUAACGAUGGCGGCGCUGUCUCCACCCGAGACUCAGUGAAAUUGAAAUCGCUGUGAAGAUGCAGUGUAUCCGCGGCUAGACGGAAAGACCCCGUGAACCUUUACUGUAGCUUUGCACUGGACUUUGAGCCUGCUUGUGUAGGAUAGGUGGGAGGCUUUGAAGCGUGGACGCCAGUUCGCGUGGAGCCAUCCUUGAAAUACCACCCUGGCAUGCUUGAGGUUCUAGCUCUGGUCCGUAAUCCGGAUCGAGGACAGUGUAUGGUGGGCAGUUUGACUGGGGCGGUCUCCUCCUAAAGAGUAACGGAGGAGUACGAAGGUGCGCUCAGACCGGUCGGAAAUCGGUCGCAGAGUAUAAAGGCAAAAGCGCGCUUGACUGCGAGACAGACACGUCGAGCAGGUACGAAAGUAGGUCUUAGUGAUCCGGUGGUUCUGUAUGGAAGGGCCAUCGCUCAACGGAUAAAGGGUACUCCGGGGAUAACAGGCUGAUACCGCCCAAGAGUUCAUAUCGACGGCGGUGUUUGGCACCUCGAUGUCGGCUCAUCACAUCCUGGGGCUGAAGCCGGUCCCAAGGGUAUGGCUGUUCGCCAUUUAAAGUGGUACGCGAGCUGGGUUUAGAACGUCGUGAGACAGUUCGGUCCCUAUCUGCCGUGGACGUUUGAGAUUUGAGAGGGGCUGCUCCUAGUACGAGAGGACCGGAGUGGACGAACCUCUGGUGUUCCGGUUGUCACGCCAGUGGCAUUGCCGGGUAGCUAUGUUCGGAAAAGAUAACCGCUGAAAGCAUCUAAGCGGGAAACUUGCCUCAAGAUGAGAUCUCACUGGGAACUUGAUUCCCCUGAAGGGCCGUCGAAGACUACGACGUUGAUAGGCUGGGUGUGUAAGCGUUGUGAGGCGUUGAGCUAACCAGUACUAAUUGCCCGUGAGGCUUGAGC
rnacentral:rRNA from 1 species